UUUAAAUGUAAAUUAAGUAAUUAAAAUUAUUAUGAGUUAAGGUCUUUAAAGUUAAAGAUUUUGGCGGUAUUUUAGUCUUUUCAGAGGAACCUGUUUUGUAAUCGAUAGUCCACGAUAAUAUUUACUUUAUUUAAAAAUUUAUAUAUCGUCGUAGUUGAAUAUUUUAAAAGAAUUAUAAUAUUCAAUAUUUAAUAAGAAUAAGAUAAUUCAGAUCAAGGUGUAGUAUAUAAUAAAGAAAAAAUGGGUUACAAUAUAAGUUAUAUUUAGUUUUAUAUUUUAAAAAUAUAAAUAAAUUGGAUUUGAAAGUAAUUUUAUAUAUUUAUAUAAGAUGAUUAUGCUCUAAAAUAUG
rnacentral:rRNA from 1 species